GACGAACGCUGGCGGCGUGCCUAAUACAUGCAAGUCGAACGCUGAAGGAGGAGCUUGCUUCUCUGGAUGAGUUGCGAACGGGUGAGUAACGCGUAGGUAACCUGCCUGGUAGCGGGGGAUAACUAUUGGAAACGAUAGCUAAUACCGCAUAAGAGUAGAUGUUGCAUGACAUUUGCUUAAAAGGUGCAAUUGCAUCACUACCAGAUGGACCUGCGUUGUAUUAGCUAGUUGGUGGGGUAACGGCUCACCAAGGCGACGAUACAUAGCCGACCUGAGAGGGUGAUCGGCCACACUGGGACUGAGACACGGCCCAGACUCCUACGGGAGGCAGCAGUAGGGAAUCUUCGGCAAGGGACGGAAGUCUGACCGAGCAACGCCGCGGGAGUGAAGAAGGGUUUCGGAUCGUAAAGCUCUGUUGUAAGAGAAGAACGAGUGUGAGAGUGGAAAGUUCACACUGUGACGGUAGCUUACCAGAAAGGGACGGCUAACUACGUG
rnacentral:rRNA from 1 species